rnacentral:rRNA from 1 species
UCAAGCGAACAAGUGCACAGGGUGGAUGCCUAGGCAUGAGCCGGCGAGGAAGGACGUGGCAAGCUGCGAGAAGCCUCGGGGAGCUGCAAGCGAGCAUUGAUCCGGGGAUGUCCGAAUGGGGAAACCCGGCGCGGGUGAUACCGCGUCAUCCCGAGAGGGAGGCCAACCCAGGGAACUGAAACAUCUCAGUACCUGGAGGAAGAGAAAUCAAACGAGAUUCCCCUAGUAGCGGCGAGCGAACGGGGAGGAGCCCAAACCCGUGGGGGUCAAACCCGAUGGGGGUUGAGGGGCCCUGGGGAACCCGACCGAAAGCGUAGCGGAAGGCGCCUGGAAAGGCGUACCGGAGAGGGUGAGAGUCCCGUAUGCGAAACGCGAGUAGGGAGGCGCCAGGGUACCCGAGUAGGCCGGAGCACGAGGAAUUCCGGUUGAAUCAGGGGGGACCAUCCUCCAAGGCUAAAUACGAGCUCAUGACCGAUAGUGGAGAGUACCGUGAGGGAAAGGUGAAAAGAACGCCUGACGGCGAGUGAAAGAGAACCUGAAACCUUGUGCAUACAAGCGGUAGGAGCCUGGUGCCCCUUACGGGGGGCACGUGGGUGACUGCGUGCCUUUUGCAUUAUGAUCCGGCGAGUUACUCCUCACGUGCGAGGUUAAGGCCUUCAGGGCCGGAGCCGAAGCGAAAGCGAGUCUGAACAGGGCGCGAAGUACGUGGGGGUAGACCCGAAACUGAAGCGAUCUAUCCAUGGCCAGGGUGAAGCCGGGGUAACACCUGGUGGAGGCCCGAACCGGUGUGGGCUGAAAACUGCUCGGAUGAGCUGUGGAUAGGGGUGAAAGGCCAAUCAAGCUCAGAGAUAGCUGGUUCUCCCCGAAAUAUAUUUUGGUAUAGCCUCAGGACAUGUCUCCGGGAGGUAGAGCACUGAAUGGGUUAGGGGCCUUACCCGGUUACCGACCCCAAUCAAACUCCGAAUGCCCGAUGAGAUGGACCCUGGGAGUCAGUGGGCGAGCGAUAAUGUUCGUCCGCAAGAGGGAAAGAGCCCAGACCGUCAGCUAAGGCCCCGAAGUGCAUGCUAAGUGAGAAAGGAUGUGGAUUUGCAGAGACAACUAGGAGGUUGGCUUAGAAGCAGCCAUGCCUUGAAAGAGUGCGUAAUAGCUCACUAGUCAAGUGGAUCUGCGCCGAUAAUGGUCGGGACUGUAAGCAUGCCGCCGAAGCUACGGAUGCGAACCUCUUCGGAGGUAAGCAUGGUAGGGGAGCGUUCCCUGGGCGUCGAAGCCCCCUCGCAAGAGCAGGGGUGGAGCGCAGGGAAGUGAGGAUGCCGGAAUGAGUACGCGAUAAACAGAGUGAGAAUCUCUGUCACCGAAAGCCUAAGGGUUCCGGAGCCAGGCUUAUCCGCUCCGGGUUAGUCGGCCCCUAAGCCGAGGCCGAGAGGCGUAGGCGAUGGGAAACAGGUCAACAUUCCUGUACCGCAGUAUUUGCGUUUGACCCUGAGGAGGGACGCGGAAGUGAAAGAACCGUCGGGAGGGUGGAGUAUCCGAUGCAAGGUGGUAGGCGUUUCCAGGUAGGCAAAUCCGCCUGGAUAGCCGAGCGCCGAUGCCGAAGGGGUUUUCGGACCCCGCAAAGGGUUCCUAAUCAAGCCGCCGAGAAAAGCUUCGCAGGGGAGUGGAUACUGGGACCGUACCGCAAACGGACACACGUAGGCGAGGCGAGAAGCCUAAGGUGCUCGAGUGAGUUGUGGAGAAGGAACUCGGCAAAAUGUCCCCGUAACUUCGGGAGAAGGGGAGCCCGCCCUAGGUGAACCUGGUUGCCAGGGGAGCCGAAGCGGGCCGCAGAGAAUCGGCCCAGGCGACUGUUUAGCAAAAACACAGGUGUCUGCAAAGUCGCUGAGACGACGUAUAGGCACUGACGCCUGCCCGGUGCCGGAAGGUUAAAAGGAGAGGUUAGGGGGCCUUCGGGCUCUCGAAGCUUUGAAUUGAAGCCCCGGUAAACGGCGGCCGUAACUAUAACGGUCCUAAGGUAGCGAAAUUCCUUGUCGGGUAAGUUCCGACCUGCACGAAUGGCGUAACGAUCUGGGCGCUGUCUCCUCCACAAGCUCGGCGAAAUUGGAGUAUCGGUGAGGAUACCGAUUACCCGCGACAGGACAAAAAGACCCCGUGCACCUUUACUAUAACCUGCCAUUGGGUUUCGGCACUGCAUGUGUAGCAUAGGUGGGAGACUACGAGCCAGGGCCGCUAGGUUCUGGGGAGUCAACGGUGAAAUACCACCCUUGUGAUGUUGAAGCUCUAACCCGGGCGAGUGAAUCCUCGUCGGGGACCGUG